rnacentral:tRNA from 1 species
GGGGGUGUGGCUCAAGAGGUAGCGCGCUCGCCUGGUAUGCGUGUGGCCCAGGUUCAAUCCUCAGCCCCA